UACGUAGGGGGCUAGCGUUGUCCGGAUUUAUUGGGCGUAAAGAGCGCGCAGGCGGUCGUUCAAGUCGAGUGUGAAAGCCCCCGGCUCAACUGGGGAGGGUCAUUCGAUACUGAUCGACUCGAAGGCAGGAGAGGGAAGUGGAAUUCCCGGUGUAGUGGUGAAAUGCGUAGAUAUCGGGAGGAACACCUGCGGCGAAGGCGGGUUGCUGGGCUGAUACUGACGCUGAGGCGCGAAAGCCAGGGGAGCGAACGGG
rnacentral:rRNA from 1 species